UGCACUCACAGUUGUAAGUCGCUUUGGAUAAAAACAUCUGCUAAAUUGCAUUAC
rfam:Salmo salar isolate Sally breed double haploid chromosome ssa10, whole genome shotgun sequence.